rnacentral:rRNA from 1 species
GACGAACGCUGGCGGCGUGCCUAAUACAUGCAAGUCGAACGAAGCUUUUUUAACUGGUGCUUGCACCGACUUAAACAACUGAGUGGCGAACGGGUGAGUAACACGUGGGUAACCUGCCCCAAAGCGGGGGAUAACAUUUGGAAACAGAUGCUAAUACCGCAUAACCACAGGAACCACAUGGUUUCUGUGUCAAAGAUGGUUUCGGCUAUCAAUUUGGGAUGGACCCGCGGCGUAUUAGCUAGUUGGUAAGGUAAUGGCUUACCAAGGCAAUGAUACGUAGCCGAACUGAGAGGUUGAUCGGCCACAGUGGGACUGAGACACGGCCCAAACUCCUACGGGAGGCAGCAGUAGGGAAUAUUGGACAAUGGGCGCAAGCCUGAUCCAGCCAUGCCGCGUGUGUGAAGAAGGCUCUAGGGUUGUAAAGCACUUUAAGUUGUGAGGAAGGGUGUAUUGUGAAUAAUGAUGCACCUUGACGUGAGCAACAGAAUAAGCACCGGCUAACUCCGUGCCAGCAGCCGCAGUAA